CUAGCUGUAAACGAUGGAUACUAGGCGUUGAGAGUAUCGACCCUCUCAGUGUCGUAACUAACGCGUUAAGUAUCCCGCCUGGGGAGUACGCGCGCAAGCGUGAAACUCAAAGGAAUUGACGGGGGCCCGCACAAGCGGUGGAGUAUGUGGUUUAAUUCGAUGCAACGCGAAGAACCUUACCAGGGCUUGACAUGUCCGGAACCCUGCCCAAAGGCGGGGGUGCCUACGGGAACCGGAACACAGGUGGUGC
rnacentral:rRNA from 1 species